UUCAUAACAUACAAAACUUUUUUAAUGUAUACCCAUAAUUUAAAAUUUAAAAUUUAAAUUGAUUUCAAAAUUUAAAUUUAAUUUAGAUCUAAAUUUAUGAAUCAAACUCAAAUCUUAGAGUUAUUUUUGAAUAUGUUAUUCGAAUUUAAAUAGUUGCUGAUUUGAUAGGUAUUUUUAACUCUAGAUUUAAAUUUAUGAAUUAAUUUUGAAUUUAUUAUUUGAUUUAAAUAGUUGUUGAUUUGAUAGGUAUUUUUACAUCUAUCUAUUGUUCAAACCUGAUUUAUUUUAGUCAGGUAAUUAUUUUUCAUAUUAUUUUUUUAAGAGACAAUUGCUUAUAUAUCCUUAAAAAGUUUCGGACUUUCUGAUUCUAAGUUAUUUCAAAUAUAUUCCUUAAGUUUAAUUCUAUUAGUAAACGGUUAGCAACAGUCGUUAUCAUUCUAAAAUUACUCUAUGUGAGUAUGGAUGCUAAAUUUAAUCUUCUACUAUUAUAGG
rnacentral:lncRNA from 1 species